rnacentral:rRNA from 1 species
AGUUACCAUCAUUAAGUUGGGGACUCUAGCGAGACUGCCAGUGAUAAACUGGAGGAAGGUGGGGAUGACGUCAAAUCAUCAUGCCCCUUAUGACCUGGGCUACAAACGUGAUACAAUGGCUGGAACAAAGGGAUGCGAAGCAGUGAUGUGGAGCGAAACCCAUAAAAACAGUCUCAGUUCGGAUUGAAGUCUGCAACUCGACUUCAUGAAGUCGGAAUCGCUAGUAAUCGCGGAUCAGAACGCCGCGGUGAAUACGUUCUCGGGGUUU